GAUGAACGCUGGCGGCGUGCCUAAUACAUGCAAGUCGAGCGAACAGACGAGGAGCUUGCUCCUCUGACGUUAGCGGCGGACGGGUGAGUAACACGUGGAUAACCUACCUAUAAGACUGGGAUAACUUCGGGAAACCGGAGCUAAUACCGGAUAAUAUAUUGAACCGCAUGGUUCAAUAGUGAGAGACGGUUUUGCUGUCACUUAUAGAUGGAUCCGCGCCGCAUUAGCUAGUUGGUAAGGUAACGGCUUACCAAGGCGACGAUGCGUAGCCGACCUGAGAGGGUGAUCGGCCACACUGGAACUGAGACACGGUCCAGACUCCUACGGGAGGCAGCAGUAGGGAAUCUUCCGCAAUGGGCGAAAGCCUGACGGAGCAACGCCGCGUGAGUGAUGAAGGUCUUCGGAUCGUAAAACUCUGUUAUUAGGGAAGAACAAAUGUGUAAGUAACUAUGCACGUCUUGACGGUACCUAAUCAGAAAGCCACGGCUAACUACGUG
rnacentral:rRNA from 1 species